CAUUGCGGGGGCGCUCUUUGCUUUUCAUACCUCUACGUUCCAUUUCUGCAUUGCAGGGGCGCUCUUUCCUUUUCAUACCUCUAUGUUGCCUUUCUGCAUUGCGGGGGCGCUCUUUCCUUUUCAUACCUCUAUGUUCUAUUUCUGCAUUGCAGGGGCGCUCUUUACUUUUCAUAUCUCUAUGUAGCUUUUAGCAUUGCAGAGGCGCUCUUUACUUUUCAUACUUCUAUGUUCCAUUUCCGCAUUGCGAGGGUCUCUUUACUUUUCAUACCUCUAUGUUCACUUUCCGCAUUGCAGGGGCGCUCUUUGCUUUUCAUACCUCUAUGUUCCAUUUCUGCAUUGCGGGGGCACUCUUUAUUUUCAUACGUGUAUGUUUCCUUUCUGCAUUGCAGGAGCGCUCUUUAAUUUUCAUACCUCUAUGUUCCAUUUCCGCAUUGCGGGGUGCUCUUUACUUUUCAUACCUCUAUGUUCCAUUUCUGCAUUGCGGGGGUGCUCUUUCCUUUUCAUACCUCUGUGUUCCAUUUCUGCAUUGCAGGGGCACUCUUCACUUUUCAUACCUCUAUGUUCUAUUUCUGCAUUGCAGGAGCGCUCUUUAAUUUUCAUACUUCUAUGUUCCAUUUCCGCAUUGCGGGGGUCUCUUUACUUUUCAUACCUCUAUGUUCACUUUCCGCAUUGCAGGGGCACUCUUUGCUUUUCAUACCUCUAGGUUCCAUUUCUGCAUUGCAGGAGCGCUCUUUCCUUUUCAUACCUCUGUGUUCCAUUUCUGCAUUGCGGGGGCACUCUUUACUUUUCAUACGUCUAUGUUUAAUUUCUGCAUUGCAGGAGCGCUCUUGACUUUUCAUACUUCUAUGUUCCAUUUCCGCAUUGCCGGGGUCUCUUUACUUUUCAUACCUCUAUGUUCACUUUCCGCAUUGCAAGGGCGCUCUUUGCUUUUCAUACCUCUAGGUUCCAUUUCCGCAUUGCAGGGGCGCUCUUUGCUUUUCAUUCCUCUAUGUUCCAUUUCCGCAUUGCGGGGGCGCUCUUUACUUUUCAUACCUCUAUGUUCACUUUCCGCAUUGCGGGGGCGCUCUUUACUUUUCGUACCUCUAUGUUCCUCCUAUCCCUCCCUUUCCCGCCUCCGCCUCCGCUCUCUUCUCCCAUUGGUUGUAGCUUGGGAGGUCCCGCCCCUUUCCCCUUCCUUCGCUCCCUCAUUGGUCGAAGCGCGUCCUGGAAGAUAUGUAGUGCGGGGGCGUUUUCCAUCGUAGCCGCAAUAAUACAAAAUAAAUAAUUAUAUAAUAUCAGAGAUAUAUAGUAUUAGAGCUUAUUAAUAAUCGUUACGUAUUAUUAUGUUGUUUGAAUAUUAGGUGUAUGGAUGUGUCAGGAUUGGCGACGGAAGGGACGGGUUGUGUGAUGGACCUGCCGGGACUUGGGGGCGGGGCAAGGGGCGCGGCCUGGCGCGUGAGAGCCGGGGAAGGGAACAGCCAAGAUGGCGGCCGGGGUGAGGCGGGCGAAGCGCCGCUGAGGAGAACGUAAGGAAAAGGCCUUUAGAUUAUAUUAUUAUUAUUGUGUUAUUAUUUCAUAUUAUAUUAUUAUCGUACAUAUUAUGUUGCAUCACGUUUAUAAUAUAUUAUUUCUUUAUUAUUUCAUAUUAUUAUAAUAGACAUGAUUUUGCAUUAUUAUGUUGUUAUUUCAUAUUAUAUUAUUUUUAUAAUUUUGCAUCCUUAUAUUAGUUGGUUUUUAUAUUAUUAUCGUUUUGCAUCAAAAAAAUCCGAAACUUGGGAGGAGUAGUCCCCUGGCCCGUGGGCUGAUCGUGACAAAAUUGAUGGCAUUGGUGACAGCUCUUCUUUUUGGGACCAUUUUUGGCCGGAAGAAACGAGGGAAAAUUCACUUGUGGCCUCUUUGGAACUUGGAAAAAGUUUCCGUCUUUUGGGUCACACACCCUUAGUUGUGGAUGCUGGGCGUUGUGGUCCGAAAAGCGUUCUCUUUGUGCAACUAAUUCGGACUAAUCCAGUGACAUAAAUGAGCCUUUUUUUCCCCCGGCGCCGUUUGCCUACAACCGUCAAAAGCAGAUCGGAACCCAAGGAAGGGGUCGGAGUUCUGGGUUGGGCCUUUUGUUGGGUUGCGCGCACACGGAAACAAAAUAAUCACUGUAAAGCACUUUUAUUAUUAUUAAUAAUAAUUCAAUUUAAAAAGAGCAUUUACAACUGAGCCUUGCUCGCUCGCCCGGCUCUUGUUUUGUAUUUUUGUUUAUUACAAAACGGUAUUUGUUCGUUUAAAGAGAAAAAAAAAACAGGAAACGGUUUGAUUUUUCAGAGCAAGGCAACCCUUCUUAUUCUUUUUUUAUUUAAAAAGGCCCUGGCGGCAGGAAUAUAGUGUAAAAAUCAUUGGAAACACUGAAAGGCAUCAAUACAUAUUGGAAUAAUAUACACUUUGUACAAACGAAAAUUACACACCGUUCAUUAUUUCUUUUGUUUUGUUUUGUUCGGAGGUUCUGGUUCAGAAACUGAGGUCCGAAUAA